UACGGGGGGAGCAAGCGUUGUUCGGAUUUACUGGGCGUAAAGGGCGCGUAGGCGGCCAGCACAAGUCAGUUGUGAAAUCUCCGAGCUUAACUCGGAAAGGUCAACUGAUACUGUGCGGCUAGAGUGCGGAAGGGGCAACUGGAAUUCUUGGUGUAGCGGUGAAAUGCGUAGAUAUCAAGAGGAACACCUGCGGCGAAGGCGGGUUGCUGGGCCGACACUGACGCUGAGGCGCGAAAGCCAGGAGAGCGAACGGG
rnacentral:rRNA from 1 species